rnacentral:rRNA from 1 species
AGUCAACAUGCCCAGGGGACGUGGAUAACCUCGAGAAACUGAGGAUAAACCGCGAUAGGUCAUAGUAUCUGGAAUGAUUUAUGGCUUAAAUCUAUAUGGCCCCUGGAUUGGACUGCGGCCGAUCAGGCUGUUGGUGAGGUAAUGGCCCACCAAACCUAAAACCGGUACGGGCUCUGAGAGGAGAAGCCCGGAGAUGGGCACUGAGACAAGGGCCCAGGCCCUAUGGGGCGCAGCAGGCGCGAAAACUCUGCAAUAAGCGAAAGCUUGACAGGGUUAUUCUGAGUGAUUUCCGCUAAGGAAAUCUUUUGGCACCUCUAAAAAUGGUGCAGAAUAAGGGGUGGGCAAGCCUGGUGUCAGCCGCCGCGGUAAUACCAGCACCCCGAGUGGUCGGGACGAUUAUUGGGCCUAAAGCAUCCGUAGCCGGUUCUACAAGUCUUCCGUUAAAUCCACCUGCUCAACAGUUGGGCUGCGGAGGAUACUAUANAGCUAGGAGGCGGGAGAGGCAAGCGGUACUCAGUGGGUAGGGGUAAAAUCCGUUGAUCCAUUGAAGACCACCAGUGGCGAAGGCGGCUUGCCAGAACGCACUCGACGGUGAGGGAUGAAAGCUGGGGGAGCAAACCGGAUUAGAUACCCGGGUAGUCCCAGCUGUAAACGAUGCACAC